AAUGGAUGUUGCUCGUGUCUCCUGCCUCAGCUCUGACUUUGACAGCAGGCCGGGGUUUUUACACCAGAUCAACAAAUUAGAAGCAUAUUUUAGUUAAACACUGCGGUUCAUUUUGGGCUUGAGGUCCAUUGGUUGUAUUGAUAUCACUGGCUUGCAUUGGAUUAACAGUGGAAACGCGAGUAGCAUGGACAAGAUGGACAACAAUCAACAUGUCUCUACUGUAACAGCGCCAAAUGUGUAAACUAAACUACAACCGGUACCAAGACAUGACGUGCAUAAUUAUGAUGACUCCUUGAUGUCCCACUUUAUACAUGUCCAUAAGGAUUAUGCUACAGAGGCAUACAGUAGCUAACUGCCACCAGCUGAGAACUGCCUGGUUAAACAUGCUGAAGAGAAAAUAGAAGAUGAGAAGCUGUUUCUCCAGUGUUGUGCUGGUGGAUCCACUAAUAUGCUGUUUCUAGAUCUGUUGUGGUGUGUUAACAUUGCUAUGUUGAAGCCAUUUUACAUAAAGUUUAAGUUCUUGAGAGGUUAUUAAGCACUUUUAAAUCUGAGAUUUGAAAUAACUGAGUUGAACAUGUUCAAGUAUUUCUUCUUUCAUGCAUUUCUCUAUCUCUGUCCAUCUCUUUCUCUAAGUAGUUUGUGAAGCCUGCAGUAGUUCUGUGGCAGUUGUUUGUUUUCUGUGAGUGCUUUGUUAACUAAAAUUGUAUAAAACAGAUUGUCUACCCCUGAAA